rnacentral:lncRNA from 1 species
GCCUUUUUAGGGCCACACCUGCAGCAUAUGGAGGUCCCCAGGCUAGGGGUUGAAUCGGAGCUGUAGCUGCCAGCCUCCAUCACAGCUACAGCAAUGUGGGAUCCAAGCCACAUCUGCGACCCACGCCGCAGCUCACGGCAAAGCCGGAUCCUUAAGCCACUGAGGGAGGCCAGGGAUUGAACCCACGUCCUCAUGGAUACUGAGAAGAGGAUAGAAAGACCACUAAGGAUCUGAACCCAGUGCUGCCACCGACAGUCACUGUGGCAACUAACUCAACUCUCUGGCCCUAAGUCUCCUCGUUAGUAUAUAAGGUGUCUGAGGCUCCCUCUCAGAAGUGCCAUCCUUUCAUAUUCUGGGCAUAUUAUUUGCACCACAAAUAUUUGAAUGGAUCCAUAGAGCGCUGCGCUCUGAACUCUGUCCGCGGUGCUGAAACAGCGAUCGGCACGCCGCCUCUGUCCUUGGUGCUGAAACGGAACCCAGUGCCUGGGCUGAACCCUUUUCCAGGCCACCCCGCGCAUUAUCCCCGGUGAGCUGAAUUCAGGAAACCAGAACCUUUUCCAGGACUGCAGAGUAGCGGUCCCACCUUCCUUUGCUAAUUACUCCCUGAUAAGCCCCGAGCAGAAGCCACGGCGGUGAGCAGCCUGCUCGCCGACUUCAAGAACCUCCUAUACCUGGAUGAGGUGCGCAGAUGCCAAGGACCCCAGUCAGUAGCCCUACUCCAAACAAAAGGAGCUUCCCUGUAAUGUAAAUGCCUCAUCCCAUUCUCUCAAGGGGAGCCCCGCCGCAAUGCCUCCUGGCGGCUGGCGCGGGGACUGUGCUCAGAGGAGGAACACAGAAGGGCCCCAGCGGUGACGCCUGGGCGUGCGGGGAAGGAGCGGCAGACGCUCGGGCCCCCCCCCCCCCUCACCCCUCCCAGGGCAAUCUGGCGCUCUGAGCUUGCAGAACUGCCCAACACCCAAACGCUCCAGGCUGUCCCACUGUUUUCUGGCCGCCUUGGGGUGCCAUGCUGUCCCGUGCGCAGCGAAGACUCAACUCACGUUGCUGUACCCUGCCAGGUGAAACUUCCUGUUCCCUCUUCCAAGGGGGGUGGGGUAGACCUGUUUAAACAAACAACCUUUUCUCCUGCUGGCAAGCAGAUGAUUGCAAAGACCUGUAAUACGCCUCCACUGGGGCAGAGACUCCCAACUUCACACCCACCCAAAUAAGGAACUUGCCCACAGCGCCUCCCUAGGAAGAAGUGGGGGUUGGGGGAAAAGGCCAACAGCUGCAGCCCACUCCUGUUCCCCCACCCCACAGUUGGGGGCUCUUCGAGAAGCAGAUCUGCUUUGUGUUUCCAGGGACUGCUAGAAAUUAGCCUCACUGGGUGUAGAAAUUCCCAUCCUUCCAAAAAACCAGCAGCAAAAUCAAACAACCUGAAGACAACACCUCAAAUGAGCUUUUCUGGAUUCAGACGGGGAGUAAGGACAAUAGACUUUUUAAUGUAAAAAUUUUUUGUUUUGUUUUGGUUUUUAUGGCUGCCUUGGGCCAAAUCCAAGCUGCAGCUGCCACCUAUGCCGAAAGUGUGGGGGAUCAAACACCUCCACAGUGAUCAGAGCCGCUGCCAUUGGCUUUCCAACCCACUGUGCCACAGCGGGACCUCCACAAUAGCAGCUAUAGCUAAUAUCAUUUAUUGAGCACUUACUAUAGGCCAAGCACUGUGCUAGGAGCUCUGUCAACCUCUCAUUUAGCCCUACCAACCUCCCCUCCCCCAGGGAAGCAUCACAAUCAACAUCCUACAGUUGAGGACAGUGGGGAUUGGAGAGGUGAGGAGACCACUCAGGGUGGUGCCACUGGCAAGUAUUGAGACUGGCCUGGGAAACCACAUCUGUCUGCCCUCAAUCUUGCAGCUCAGCUGGGUCUACCUCACCAUCCCUCCAUGUUCUCGGGGAAGCCUCACCUCCCCUUAGGUGUGUUUAAGAUGACACCCCCCCCGGCCCCCUUAGCCUCAUGUCUCAGCUGAGAGACACAGGGAGGAAGACAGUAACAGCCCACACUCCCGUGGCAUUUUACAGCCCCCAAAGUGCACUCAUACCCACUGUCCAAAUCAACCCCCAUGAUACUGGGGCCCUCUUUUGAUUUUACAGGAGAAAAAAAUCCUGAGGCUCAAAGGAAUGAGUGGUUUGCCCCAAGUCACACAGUGAGGAGUGGAGCCAGAACUCAGAUGAAGAUGUCCAGGCUCCCAGUUUAGGGCUCCCUCUCCCCAUUUCUGCAAGGUUGGGGUCCUGCCACCAAGCCAGAAGGGGCGUCUUAAGGGUCUUCAUGUCCUGAGGGCUUCCCGAGGCCUUGACCUGAGAUGCUUCCCUCCUCCUAUUCCCUAGAGGCCAUCAGUUGGCUCAGCUCUAACUUGGAGUCUCCGAGUCUCAUUCUAAAUGAAAUUUUUUUUUUCCAGGCAAUUACUUCCUGCUAAUUAGGAGGCAAGACUGCCAGUCCCUGGGCCCUGGGCUGACCCCUUUUCUCAACUCACGGCAGGUGCCGGGGGCGGCGGGGGGGGUUUUGAUGAGGUGAGGUACUAGGUAGCAGCACCAGCCACAGAAACUGGUGGCCCCAUCAUCAGAAGAAGGCCAGGAAACUUUUUAGGGUGGCGGUGGGGACUAGUGGAGGAGUAAGGCGCUCCAGAGGACGGGAAGAAGGGAGGUGGGGAUGCUGAGAAGGAAGGAGGGAGGGACUCUGAAGUGGGAGAGAGACAGGGGCCAAGAAGCUGGAAGGAGCCUAGACGUGCUGUGCUGAGUAAGAGAGGGACCCAGGCUCAGGAGCAGCAGGGGGAGCCAGGAAGAUCCAGAGAAAUGGGGACACGUCAUAGGAAGGAAAAAGGAGCCAUCUCAGGAAGCAGGGAGAUGGAGGAGGGGGGCAGAGAUUGCCCCUCUGCAGAGGGGGAGGAAGGAAGGAGGCAAUCUGGAAUACGGUCAAAAUUAUAGAAGUGGAAGAGGUAGAGGCCCGGAGAUCCU